CAGGCCUAACACAUGCAAGUCGAACGAGAAAGUCCCGCAAGGGAUGAGUAAAGUGGCGCACGGGUGAGUAACACGUAGCCAACCUACCCUCGAGUGGGGGAUAACCUGGGGAAACUCGGGCUAAUACCGCAUACGUCCGGGCUGCACAAGCAGUUCGGAGCAAAGACCCGCAAGGGUCGCUGGAGGAGGGGGCUGCGGCCGAUUAGCUAGUUGGUGAGGUAACGGCCCACCAAGGCGAUGAUCGGUAGCCGGCCUGAGAGGGCGCACGGCCACACUGGCACUGAAAUACGGGCCAGACUCCUACGGGAGGCAGCAGUGGGGAAUUUUGCACAAUGCCCGAAAGGGUGAUGCAGCAACGCCGCGUGAGGGAUGAAGGCCUUCGGGUCGUAAACCUCUUUCGACCGGGAAAAACGGGCGCGUGAAGAGCGCGUUCUGAUGGUACCGGUGGAAGAAGCCCCGGAUAACUACGUGCCAGCAGCCGCGGUAAUAC
rnacentral:rRNA from 1 species